rnacentral:rRNA from 1 species
GACGAACGCUGGCGGCGCGCUUAACACAUGCAAGUCGAACGGAAAGGCCUGCUUUCCCUUGUGGAUUGCGGGUACUCGAGUGGCGAACGGGUGAGUAACACGUGAGUGAUCUGCCCCCAACUUGGGUAUAAGCCUGGGAAACUGGGUCUAAUUCCCGAUAGGACUGCAGGGUGGUGCCUGUGGUGGAAAACGAUUUUCUAGUGGUUGGGGAUGAGCUCGCGGCCUAUCAGCUUGUUGGUGGGGUAAUGGCCUACCAAGGCGGCGACGGGUAGCCGGCCUGAGAGGGUGGACGGCCACAUUGGGACUGAGAUACGGCCCAGACUCCUACGGGAGGCAGCAGUGGGGGAUAUUGCACAAUGGGCGGAAGCCUGAUGCAGCGACGCCGCGUGGGGGAUGACGGCCUUCGGGUUGUAAACUCCUUUCGACCGCGAGGAAGCCACCUGGUUGGAAGGGUGGUGACGUUAGUGGUAGAAGAAGCACCGGCUAACUACGUG